AACAUCGCCUCUUGCUUUAACAUAAGAGGUCCAGCCUGSCCAGUGACACAAUUAAACGGCCGCGGUACCCUGACCGUGCGAAGGUAGCAUAAUAACUUGUUCUUUAAAUGGGGACUAGCAUGAACGGCACCACGAAGGCCUCACUGUCUCCUUUUUCUAAUCAGUGAAACUGAUCUCCCCGUGAAGAAGCGGGGAUAAUAAUAUAAGACGAGAAGACCCCAUGGAGCUUUAAACCCAGCAAGCAACCCUAAUCUACAUAACCCAUCUAAAUUAUUUCCUCCCCUGCUUCCUGGUUUUAGGUUGGGGUGACCACGGAGUAAAACACAUCCUCCAUGACGUACGAGAUUAACCCUUAUCCAAGAACUACUUCUCUAAGAAUCGAUAAAUCGACGUUUUAUGAUCCAAUGUAUUGAUCAACGAACCAAGUUACCCUGGGGAUAACAGCGCAAUCCAUUUUAAGAGCCCCUAUCGACGAAUGGGUUUACGACCUCGAUGUUGGAUCAGGGUACCCAAGUGGUGCAGCCCGCUACUAAUGGUUUGUUUGUUCAACAAUUUAAAACCCUACGUG
rnacentral:rRNA from 1 species